UAAGAAGGAGAACAUACCAUAUGCUUAUGAGUACAAUUACAUUCAGAUUUAUUUUCUGAACUACAUGUUGGUAGAUGAUAUGAGGGCAGUGAACUAAUUGACCAUGCGGCGCUACCUUCGUGGGUUCAAAGUAGAUACAAAAUUAAGGGGGAAAUCAUAACAAAGAGUGAAUUCGGAA